UGAGGAAUCUUGCGCAAUGGGGGCAACCCUGACGCAGCAACGCCGCGUGAGUGAGGAAGGCCUUCGGGUCGUAAAGCUCUGUCGGGUGGAAAGAAACGUAUAGAUGUUAACAGCAUUUAUACUUGACGGUACCGCCAAAGGAAGCACCGGCUAACUCCGUGCCAGCAGCCGCGGUAAUACGGGGGGUGCAAGCGUUGUUCGGAAUUAUUGGGCGUAAAGCGCGUGUAGGCGGUUUGUUAAGUCUGUUGUGAAAGCCCUGGGCUCAACCCAGGAAGUGCACUGGAUACUGGCAGACUUGAAUACGGGAGAGGGUAGUGGAAUUCCUGGUGUAGGAGUGAAAUCCGUGGAUAUCUGGAGGAAUACCGGAGGCGAAGGCGGCCUCCUGGACCGAUACUGACACUGAAACACGAAAGCGUGGGGAGCAAACAGG
rnacentral:rRNA from 1 species